CUUACAAUGUCAUAUGUAUAGCCGUACUAGAAAAUUUGCCUUCUGUAACUGCCAUUUAAAAGACUAGCAAAUCAUCAUCCCUUAUUAAAGGGUCUUGAGUUAUGGUGUAUGUUUGGAGCAAGUAAAAACACCAAUUCCAUUGGUUCAAAAGUGAAUCCUUUUGGGCACACAGCGAAGUGGAUUAAAGGGACACCGUAGGCACUGUAGCUGCGUCAUCUCAUUAAACUGGUUAUAGUGUCUGGAGUCCCCUGGUACCAUCAGUUCUUUCAGCAUUAAACAGUUUUUAAUGUUUUAAUGCUAAACAAGAGUCCCUGGCAGUCCAUCCCCUCUGUGCUGCUUUGGAUAAUAAGGAAGUAUUAGCCUGAGCAGCAAUGGGCAGCUGUGAUUGGCUGAGAGUGUCAGCUGACUGCUUUUAGCCUAUCAGAGCUCCACCUGACGGUAUGAAUGGGUAAGACAACAAGGAAGUGUGCAAUCUCUUCCUUAGCUACACAUACAGAAGGGGCCGGACUGUGGGUGGCCAGGGACUCUUAUUUUGUGGCCUACUGCACGAACUUGGCGCAACACUGAAUGGAGGGACAGUGCCAGGGCACUCCAGGCACUAUAACCAAUUCAAAGAGAUGAAAUGGUUAUAGUGACUACAGUGUCCCUUUAAAGUCUACAAUGAAAGAUACAUCAUUAGUACUGAUAAAGUUUUGACAUAAAAUUUGGGGGUAUUAUUGUUUGCAAGAGAUAAUAUUGUUUUAUAUUUUGCACAGUCCUUCCCUUUUAUUUUACAUUGUACCUGCAUGGUAGGUUAGAGGUAUAACCUACUUAUAGGGCUGCUACCCCUAGUGGAUUACCUACAGUAUAACAUUAUCCUAAAUUUAUUUGAUAUUGGCUUUUUAACGCCCCUUGAGUAGAGUAUGUGUAUUACACCUUGAAUCGACUUUUUGGGGUUUAGGGGUGUUUGGGGCUGUGCAAGUCUUUGGUUUUUUUUUUUUUUUCACUCCAACAUAAGAUUUAAUUCCAUUGGUAGAACUAGGAGACAAUAGAAUUGUUCCAUUGAUAUGUACCAAAAUUUGUUAACAUGGAAUAUAAAAAUAAGGGCAUUGGUAAUUUGCUGGUUUAUUGGGGAAUAUUUUCAAAAGGGAAGCAAAACCCCAAAACACAACCCUCAAAAUUUAAAUUAACUUUUCACAUAAAGGAAAAAUGGUGCCAGGAGGUCUGGCACACUCUUAACUCAAGGGGUUAAACGUUCUCGAACGGUUUAAUCCCAAAGGUGCCUCCAGCGCUGAACUCCGCUCCCCCCAGCAGCAUUCUGAAAUGUAACUUUCAGGAAGCGUGGAGUGCCACCGGACAGGGGUGUCGCUGAUAGACUAAGAGGAGCCAGCUGACGCUCUUAGCUUGUUGGUGACCCCCCAUUUACAAAACUGGCUUGGAAAUUUAAAGCCAAAACCGCUGAAAAGGAAGCACUUGGGAGAAUUUUUGAAUUUUGGCUUUAAUUGCUUUUCACUUUGAAUUCCUGACAAUUAUAACUUUACUGAAUAACCCGGCUAGCUUUGAAAUCCAGUUUUAAAUUCACCGCAAUGCACUGUUUAAUGAUGAAACUCUCUUAUCUUACAUUUUCGCUAUGGUUUUAGAAUCACAUUUGGAUUGGAAAGGAAACUGAUGUAAAGAAUCAUUAGACAUGUAUAGAACAUGGGAGCAGUGUCACGCAAUGUAAGAAUAAGUGGCUUUUAUGUGAUUGAAUGAAUUGUGUAAAAAGCCUCACUGCUACCAGCCCUAAACAGUUACUGACCACAGAUCACUUAAAAAGAUAGGGUUAUUCAAUACUGUGAGAAUUCAAAGUGAAUUUUCAAAUUUAAGGUCAAGAUAGAAAAAUCUGUCAGUUACGUAGCUAUAUAAUCCAGGCAUUCAGCUUGGCUACUCUGGCCUUCACUUUGAAAUCCACUUUGAAUUCUCGCUUUGAUAAAAACCCCUGAAAGCUAUAUGAACCAUUCGGUACUCCGGAUGUUGUGGACUAAAUCCCCCAUAAUGCUCUUACAUCCAUAAUGCUGGCAAAGCAUCAUUGGAGGUGUAGUCCAAAACAUAUGGAGUGCCGAAGGUUGCCUAUGCCUAGGCUAGUGUGUUAUAAAAACAUAGAAUGUACUAAGGUGCUCUACUCACUGCUAACCACUAGAGGGUGUUUUUCUGACUAUUACUCUGAAAAGGCUUUGACGGAAAGAAAUUGCACUUCCUUUGCCAUGACAUUGCUACACUUAAUACAAAUAAAAAGUUCAACAAGAUACAUUUACUUUUUGUACAUUCUUAAUAGCCAUUAAAAUUUUACAAAAUGAAACAUUUGCUUAAUAAUAUAAAUUUCUCUUCUCCCUUUAUUUUUUUAUAUAUAUUUUUUUAGUUUGGCAUUAUUUAGAAUAAUACUUAAAUUACUUGUUUUAAGUUACAGACAUUUUUUCUUCUAAACCAAUACUAUAAUUUUUAACUUUAAAUCAGCCAGGGAAUCUUUACUUACAGGGUUAAUCACUUACAGCAGUAUUUACUAGAGUCAGAAUCCAAAGUAAAUUUCAAAUCUAAUGCUAGAGUAGCCGAAGUGGAAGUAUAACUAGCUUAGAGACUUAGAUACUAUCUAGUUUGGCCUUAAGUUGGAAAUUCACUUUGAAUGAUCGAUUAUAACCCUGUAAAAUGGAAACUGUGGAGAAUUGAGAGGGAUUUUUUAAAAAAUUCCAUCACAAAACACCACAAUGGAAAAAAUAGCAGAAAAGAAAAUACAAAAAAAAAAAAACUCUACGCUGUUCAUUUUGAAACAGAAAAAAAAAAGCAUUUUUUCCCCCCUCUGAUCAGCUGACAAAAAAAAAAAACCAGAUAAUCGUUUGUAACUAAACAUUCCAUGGAGUGCUUAAAAACAACUGUUUGUUUUAUCAAGAAAAUGUAUUUUUGCAGUUAAAGGGCUCUUUUAUAAAGAUUUUUUUUUUUUUUUUUAAAUAAAAUAUUUUUCUUCUGCU
rnacentral:lncRNA from 1 species